rnacentral:lncRNA from 1 species
UGGGCUCAAGCAUGCACAUUAAGAGGCAAAAACAUACGGAAUUUAACUGGUGUCUCACCUUCUAGGGACAUUUGACUGGUAAGGGAAGAACGCCUCAAGUGAGCAUGCAUACACCUCCAGUAAACACACUGCACAUGUGUUCCCUCCCAAGUGCUAGCAGGCUGCUGUGCAUGUGGACAGCCCACCCCAAGGGAAGAAUCAGGGCAGAAAUAACACAAGAUCCUGUAAGCAUGCCAAUGAGUCGGAAGGCGGAAUUGUGCCCUUGAUCUCUCAAGUCGCCCACUUGGCCCUCUUCCAAGGUUCAGGACAUGCUACUUGAAAAUAUGGCACCCCAGCAUAUUGAAUAUUUUGAGCUGAAGGAAUUCAAGAAACAGCAGAAGCAGGAAGGUUAUUCUCACCUUCCCUUCACCCUUCUCUCCUGAAGCAGGUGAGAAAUUCUUUCCCUAGAAAGAAUUUUCUGAUCUUCCACUGAAGCAGGUCAUGAGACCCUCAUUCCAGAAGUGUCCUUCCUAUACAUGGAGGACAGGAACCUCCUUAUCUCUGAAGACAUGGGGUCACAGAGAGAACACACACACACACACACACACACACACACACACACACACACACAGGCUUCACAUCUCUUAAAGCCCCAGGCCUUAUUGGCUUAUUGACUGUAAAUAGAUUUCUGUACACUAUAUUUAAUCACAUCAGUGUUUUUUCAGAUUCUCAACUUUACUCAGACCCUUAAAGGGAAUGUUAGAGAUAGACCAUGAGUGAUUAAAAGAAUAAAAGACUCUUGUUACAGAACCAGAUAGUAAGAGAAGAAUCUGAAUAGGCCUUGCUAAGUUCCCACCACUUCAGUACCAUUACAUAAUACCCCCUUGUUCAAUUCCACUCUUUGUCAAACUUAACAUAAAAAUACAUAAGUUUAAGUGUUUGAGUCUUUCUGAAGGCUCACGUGUUACAUAAAACACAGUAAAUAAAUUUGUAAACUUUUCUUUUGUUAACCUGUCUUUGGUUAUAGAGGCCUCAGCCAUGAACGUAGGAUGAGUGAGAAAGAGAUACUUCUCCUCCCCAAUAUCUACAAUCCUUUUGAAACCAAAUCCUCUCUUAACCCAUAGCCUUCUUUGCCUAAUGCUUAUUUUUCCCUAGACUGGACAUAUAAUGGGAGCUAGGGUGUUCAGGUACCACAUAUUCUUCCUCACCUAGAAACUUAAAUAUAAGCUACGCAAUGAGACGACCACACUUCCAUAUGCCUCAUCAAGACCUACAAUAACUGUGAGGCAGGCAUAGUGUUCAUUUCUGGCUUUGACACUCCAUGUGUAAGUCACCUAGCCUCUAACUCCUUCAGUUGUCUCCUUUCCAAAGUGAGAAUAAUGAUAGAAUUUACCUCACACAGUCAUUGUAAGCAUUAAGUUAGAUUAAAUUUGAUAAUUCAUAGAAAAUAUUCAACAUUUCUCAUACUUGUAUUAAGGCCCAUUACCCCAUUUGGUUGCAAGUACCUUGAGUUCAAACACUCAUUUUCUUCUCCUUUCAAUCCCUGGUAGUUUUAAGCAGACAGCAGAUUCUGGUAAUUUCUUUGAUAUGCCUCAUAAAAUCAUAUUGAGUUUGUGCUAUUUCUCAGUUUCAAGUAAUAAGAGCAGCAGAGAGGAAACCCAGGCAUUGAUGGACAAAAACAGGGACUUUUUUCUGUUCCUUGGUGGUCGAUCUGUGGUGAGAUGGUGAAGAGUGGGCAGGGCUCAGCCCUCAGGGAGCAGCUGUGUGGUCACAGUGAAAAGCAGCGCUGCUUCAUCCUACUCACGGGUGCAUGAACCUCCAGAAAGCAUCCACUCAGAGGGGAGAAAUAGGACAGGAGAGCAACUGGGAUAAAAACGUUUCAACUUAUCAUCUUAGUUUCAAAGAUGAAGCCGACUGCGACGUGAAGGUAGGAUUUAAAGCCAGUGGUCUUGAGACUUUUCCCAUGCUUAUGACCAUCUUUUGGCGAUGUGCCUGUAAUGAAGCUCUUAUCAGAAUUUUAAAAGCUUUCUUAAAAUGCGUUUAAUUUCCUUUUUCAUCUUCCAACUUAGAAGAAAUGCCAAUUAUUCUAAGUUGGAAGAUGAAAUUCGAAGAGAUGUCAAUUCAGUUGCACUUUGAUGAAAAUCUGACUUCAGGACAUUAGUUUGAACCAUAAGAGCCACCAGGAGGGUAGUGCCUUUUGCUGAGGAACCCACAGUCAUGCCUGUUGAGUUUCCCAAAACUUAUAUCUUGUCAAGUCAAUCCAACUUAAAAGACACUGAGGAAUCUGAAUAUCUUUUCUUGAGUCUUCUGGAGUCAAGACCAUGUGCUGUCAUAGAGCAUCCUUGGGAUGAAGGUCCAUCUCUCGCAUGGCACAACACACACUUUUUUGUGGAUGUUAGAUUAUUUUAAUUUGCUGAUAGUGCAUUCAGUAUGAGGUUGAUUUUUUACAACUGCUGAUUCAAAUACUGUCACAAAAUAUUUGAAAAUCGAUCUUUAUGUAUCACCAAGUAACUUUUCCAUAAGUAGUAUCCACAAAUACAAAAUCACUGAAUAUAAAUUUUCAGCUGUAUUUUCUGAUCUGGUUACAUAAAUGUUCUUUGAUUUAAAUUAAGCCAAAGUUGGAGCUAAACAGAUUUUCUGCAACCAUUUCAUCUUUAAGAUGAAGUUAAAGAUUUGCAUUUGAAAUCUCCCAUUAUUGAAUUGGAAGUAGCAGUUCCAGUUAAUGUCCAGCAUCCUCUGAAUGCCAAUGGUCUUUGAGUAAACAUAUGAACCUUCAUCGCUUUUAGUUGUUUAAGACACCACUUCACAUGAUCAGUAAGUAACAACAACAACCUCUUGGUAAAUGCACAUGAAUGCAAAUUCCUGUUUUAUAUAUUUGGGUAGAAGGAUAGAACAUAUUGAAAAUAACAGAUAAGUAUUUACAAAUUCUCACCUUAUUUUUCCCCUUUACAUUCAAUGGCUAAGUGUGGGGAUUCAUCUGUAAAUGCUCCCAGAAAUGGCACAAAAUUGUGCUAUAAUGGAACCAAACAACCACAGUGUUUGUUUGGGGUUUUGAUUUUUCUCCAAUAAAAGGUACUUAUUUAGACAGUAAAAUUUUUUAGUGACAAUAAAAAUUUAUAACAUAAAGAGCUUUUGUGUGUCCACAUUAGCCACAAACUAGGGCAAGUACUUUAUGUCUGUGUGUACACAUUUACACACACGCACACACACAAAACUGGACCAUGUUUCCAGGGUUCAGUGGAGGAAAAACUUUUUUCAUUGUUAAGUGUAAUGUUUUCAAAUAGAUGAAUCAGAAAAUUUUACAUAGAUGUAAGACCAUUUUGUAUGAACGGUAUCAAUCAUGUGCAUUGAGGGAUAAGUAGGGUAAAUGGUGUUUAAACAGCAUUCUAAAGAAAGGAUUAAAGCAUUCUAAAGGCCCAUGGGCUACUUUUUCCCAAAUUUCAGAGCUGGGAGUCCCCAGCAGGGGAUCCACAGAGCAGGCAAGAAGGAACCUGAAAUAAACUUCAGAGGAAAAACCGCAUGGGGAGUAACGUGGGUCAGCCCCUGUCCGCUGGGACCCAUUUUCAGGCAGACACUACAUGGCAAUGACAUCAUCACAAGAGUUAGUUAUAU